AGGACGAACGCUGGCGGCGCGCUUAACACAUGCAAGUCGAGCGAGAACCGGGGCUUCGGCCCUGGGGACAGCGGCGAACGGGUGAGUAACACGUGGGUAAUCAACCCUCGGCACCGGGAUAGCCCGAGGAAACUCGGAUUAAUACCGGAUAGCCCCUCCGACUCUCGAGUCGGUCGGGAAAGGUAGCUUAGGCCUCUGGCCGGGGACGAGCCCGCGGCGGAUUAGCUUGUUGGUGGGGUAAUGGCCUACCAAGGCGACGAUCCGUAGCUGGUCUGAGAGGACGAUCAGCCACACUGGGACUGAGACACGGCCCAGACUCCUACGGGAGGCAGCAGUGGGGAAUCUUGCACAAUGGGCGAAAGCCUGAUGCAGCAACGCCGCGUGCGGGAAGAAGGCCCUCGGGUUGUAAACCGCUUUCAGAAGGAACGAAACUGACGGUACUUUCAGAAGAAGGUGCGGCCAACUACGUGCCAGCAGCCGC
rnacentral:rRNA from 1 species